rfam:Gossypium hirsutum cultivar TM-1 chromosome 9, whole genome shotgun sequence
UGAUUAUACCAGUAUUAAUGCAUCGAAUUCCAUCAGAAUUCCACAAUUAAGUGUACUUGGAUGAGAGUAGUAUUAGGAUGAGUAACCUUUCGAUAAUCAUAAAAAAAAUUAA